CCUACGGGAGGCAGCAGUGAGGAAUAUUGGUCAAUGGACGCAAGUCUGAACCAGCCAAGUAGCGUGCAGGAUGACGGCCCUCCGGGUUGUAAACUGCUUUUAGUUGGGAAUAAAAGGGGGCUCGUGAGCCCCGUAUUGUAUGUACCAUCAGAAAAAGGACCGGCUAAUUCCGUGACAGCAGCCGCGGUAAUACGGAAGGUCCGGGCGUUAUCCGGAUUUAUUGGGUUUAAAGGGAGCGUAGGCCGGCUUUUAAGUCAGCUGUGAAAGUUCGCGGCUCAACCGUGGAAGUGCAGUUGAAACUGGAGGCCGUGAGUGCACACAGGGAUGCCGGAAUUCAUGGUGUAGCGGUGAAAUGCUUAGAUAUCAUGAAGAACUCCGAUCGCGAAGGCAAGUGUCCGGGGUGCAACUGACGCUGAGGCUCGAAAGUGCGGGUAUCAAACAGGAUUAGAUACCCUGUAGUC
rnacentral:rRNA from 1 species